ensembl:lncRNA
GCCACAUCUAACAGAUAUUUAUUAAGUCAAUAUUCAUUAGCAAGCUCACAUAAACUGUUUGACAAACCUGUUCUGAAGGCUUGAUAAAGUUCCAGGUCAAUAUUCUUUUAAUUGCCCCAACCAAAACCACACAGUGCACGGGCAGUCCAUUUCAGGUGGCUGCAACAUUCCAGAAGCAGCGUUCUUAUCACUGCCAUCAGUCAGCCGGAAAUCCUCCUAAGAGAAUGGCCGGAUACAAGACUGUGAAGAGAGCAAGCCCCAGCCUCCAUCUCUGAGUGGAGGCCAGAGACUGGCGUUAAUUCUUACAUCCUAUUUUAAAUGAUUUCAGCCAAUUGAUAUGUCUUGAAUAACCUUAAUUUGACCAAGAAAGCCCAUUCAUUAUGCUAGAAAAUAGGCCACUCCUUCCACCAGGUGACAUCUGUUUCUGACAUUUGCUAUGUUAAUUCUCUACGCCAGAGGUGUUGAAGGAGAAUAGAUUGGCCGAUUAGCCAAAGCCCUCGCGGCAGCUGCCUCUGAUAUUUGGCCUUUCGAGAUCUUCCUAACUGACCCCUUCUAGACGGUGUGUUCUCCGUUAGGGCAACCGACUGCUUCAGAAUGAGGCUCCGCUAACUGCCCAUGCUCUCUCCUUCAGAGAAGUUGGUGGGAAUUUUAAACGAACCCUAUAAAGAGUAUCCUUUGAAUGAAUUGAGAAUCAAGACUAAAGAGUGCAGCAAAUGUGUCUCCUUUAGUACGUGUGAUAUAUGGAACAGGACCAGAUCAUGGACUCCAGCCCACAUGGACUGCAUUUGAACCCCAGGUCUGCCACUUCCUGGCAGUGUCAUCAAGGGAAAGCUGCUUACACUAUCUGUGUCUCAUAUUCCCAAAUGUAAAAUGCAGACAACAAGGGUAACCUACGACCAAAGUCUGCUGUGAGGAAUUUUAUAUAUAUAUGACUCUAGAAAGCGCUGAGGGGAAAAAAGUGUCCAGCACAUCAUCAUCAGUGUCAAGUCUCAGCAGGCCCUGCCCCGGCCGGCCUCACCCACAGAGGGCCUAAGCAGGCAACCCUUGCAGUAGAGAGGCUCGGAGAAUUCUCCUCUCUGUGGGCAGCUUGUCCCCAAGAAGACAAAAGAUAGUGGCUGAGCUGAGCAUGCCCUGUUCAAUCUUAUCAGGAUAAUACUGCAACAAAAAUACUAUUAAACAGAAUAUACUGUUGAAGAAAUCCAGAAAGUGCAAGACGCUGACUGACGUAGACUGCAUUUCCCAGGCUUCUAGCUGGGUUCAGCAAAGAAGAAGCGAAUGGAUUGGAAGGUCAGGAAUCCAGGUGUCAUUUAGGUCAGUUCUCUGUUCUUUCAAAGGCCGCAAUCAAGGUCUCGGUGACAGUCAUCUCAAGGCUCGACUUGGGGAAGAUCUGUGUCCCAGCACAUUCCCGUGGCUGUCAGCAGGAUUCAGUUCUCACAGCUGUUGUUGGUCUAAGUUACCCCCCCAGUUCUUAAAACGAUGCCCACAGGGAAGCAAGCAUCCUAGUCCAGGCUGCCUCCAGGUGGAAUUCUAACAACAGGAGUCCCGUGCUGGCCUUCAGCUCUCCAGAAAGAACAUCAGUUAUCAGGGACAAAGAGAAUUCAAAAUCUAUCAAUAAGGCCAGAUGUCUGCACAGUCUACAUCCCUGACUUCCACACUGUGGACAGUUUUGCCUUCCCAAAGCGAAUGUGAGCCCGCCACAUCCCUU